rnacentral:rRNA from 1 species
AAUACGUUCCCGGGUCUUGUACACACCGCCCGUCACACCACGAGAGUUUGUAACACCCGAAGCCGGUGGAGUAACCUUUUAGGAGCUAGCCGUCGAAGGUGGGACAAAUGAUUGGGGUGAAGUCGUAACAAGGUAGCCGUAUCGGAAGGUGCGGCUGGAUCACCUCCUUUCUAAGGA